GCAGAUCAUUGCUUCGGCUUUCAGGACCUUUGCAAACUUAGAUUAAAUAAAUUAACUUAAAUUAGCUAUCAAAUAUAGCUGUGAGUUUGAAGGGUUCAUAGCCUGGAGGAAAACAGAAGUAAAAUUCAGCAUCUGUCAAAGGUUGCCAAAGUAGAAAUAAACAUGAUAGUUAUCCGAUCCCUUUCCUAGGGCACCAGAUUUGGGCACCACCACAUGUGAUGUGGGGCGGAUUGGCCAAUAGAAGCCAAGUGAAGUCAGACGCUCAAGAUGUAACUAAAGCAUUUAUGAAUAUCAUCUGUCUAAUCUGGAGAAACACGUCUUAUAGUUGGCCACUCUCAUGGUUCUUGUUGCCUUCUGUUGUUUGGAGGAAUCUAAGGAUUUAUGGAAGUUAUGUUGGUAUAUCAGAAGCUUGUUGGUAUAUAUUUGACACUGCCUCUGGAACUCCUUGCCGAACACAAAGCUGUGCUAUUUGCCUGCCUAGAGCAUUGAUGGUAAAAUAGAGUUUUCAAUGUCUGUCACUCAAGGCCUUUCCACAUCUCACCUCAAUCCCUUUUCUCCUCUAAUUUCUGGCCUUACGUUCUCUAAGUCACCAUGUGUUUUACCUAUAAUAAACAAUUUUGCUCCUUAAAUGAUGCCUUACAUUUUUUUUCCCUGAAUUUGCAUCUUUG
rnacentral:lncRNA from 1 species